UACGUAGGAGGCGAGCGUUGUCCGGAAUCACUGGGUGUAAAGCGUGCGCAGGCGGUUCGUUGUGUCGGCGGUGAAAGCCCCGGGCUUAACCUGGGAAUGGCCGUUGAAACUGGCGAACUGGAGUGUGGCAGAGGGGGGUGGAAUUCCGCGUGUAGCAGUGAAAUGCGUAGAGAUGCGGAGGAACACCGAUGGCGAAGGCAGCCCCCUGGGCUAACACUGACGCUCAGGCACGAAAGCGUGGGGAGCAAACAGG
rnacentral:rRNA from 1 species